rnacentral:rRNA from 1 species
UGGGGGAUUUUGCACAAUGGGCGCAAGCCUGAUGCAGCGACGCCGCGUGAGGGAUGAAGGCCUUCGGGUUGUAAACCUCUUUCGCUGGGUUGAAAGGCCAUGCUUUGGGUGUGGUUGAUUUGAACUGGUAAAGAAGUACCGGCUAACUACGUGCCAGCAGCCGCGGUAAUACGUAGGGUACUAGCGUUGUCCGGAUUUAUUGGGCGUAAAGGGCUUGUAGGUGGUUUGUCGCGUCUGUCGUGAAAUCCUGUGGCUUAACCAUGGGCUUGCGGUGGGUACGGGCAGGCUUGAGUGCGGUAGGGGGGACUGGAAUUCCUGGUGUAGCGGUGGAAUGCGCAGAUAUCAGGAGGAACACCGGUGGCGAAGGCGGCUCUCUGGGCCGUUACUGACACUGAGGAGCGAAAGCGUGGGGAGCGAACAGG